ACCCCGCCGGCGCGCAGGCGCCGGGCGCGGCGCCUGGCGGGCACCGUCAGGCGACGAGCGAGCUGGCGGCCGCGACGCCAGCGAGGUA
rnacentral:tRNA from 1 species